UAUUAUAAGAUUUUGAUGAUUGGGAUGUGAUGUGAACAGAGCUGUGGAAGAUUUUGAUGAUUGGACUAAUUGGCUUAUGUAUAAAGGUGGAGUUGGAGUGAAAGGAGACAAUAGAUGGGAAUCUUGGCGGGAUGAAGAACAGACACAUAUCCAGAAAAUCAGAGGGCGUGUACUUGACACUAUAUUAUGCUUGAGGUUCUUCAUAUUUCAAUACGAGAUAGUCUACAAGCUCCAGCUCACUGGAAAUCAUACAUCAUUAUUGCUUUACGGGUUCUCAUGGGUGGUGUUAGAUGAAAUUGUGAUGAUAUACUCUCUAGUUCAUAGGAUCACGGAUUGUCUAUUAGCCUGAGGUCAUAAGAAUUAUCGGAGCAGGGGUUCAUUAGUCUUAAAGAAUUAUGAAAGGCAAGAUACAACUCUACUUAGUUGGAAUUUGAUGUUUAUCAUAUUUGUGUAUAUCUUUUUAGUUUGUAUAGCAUUACAUUGCA